UUUUCUUUGGUAGCAAUACCGAAGGAAGUCUAGCGGCGAACGGGUGCUUAACACGUGGGCAACCUGCCAGGAAGUGGGGGAUAGCUCGCCGAAAGGCGAAUUAAUACCGCAUGUGAUUAGAGAGGACAUCCUUUCGAAAUUAAAGUCGGGGCAACCUGACGCUUCUUGUGGGGCCCGCGGCCUAUCAGCUAGUUGGUGGGGUAACGGCUCACCAAGGCUUUGACGGGUAGCUGGUCUGAGAGGACGACCAGCCACACUGGGACUGAGACACGGCCCAGACACCUACGGGUGGCAGCAGUCGAGAAUUUUUGACAAUGGGGGAAACCCUGAUCGAGCGACGCCGCGUGGAGGAUGAAGGUCUUCGGAUUGUAAACUCCUGUCAUUGGGGAACAAGGUGCAUACGUUAACUGCGUGUGCAUUGAUAGUACCCGAAGAGGAAGAGACGGCUAACUCUGUGCCAGCAGCCGCGGUAAUACAGAGGUCUCAAGCGUUGUUCGGAUUCAUUGGGCGUAAAGGGUGCGUAGGCGGCGCGGUAAGUCGGGUGUGAAAUCUCGGAGCUUAACUCCGAAACUGCAUUCGAUACUGCCGUGCUUGAGGACUGGAGAGGAGACUGGAAUUUACGGUGUAGCGGUGAAAUGCGUAGAUAUCGUAAGGAAGACCAGUGGCGAAGGCGGGUCUCUGGACAGUUCCUGACGCUGAGGCACGAAGGUCAGGGGAGCAAACGGGAUUAGAUACCCCGGUAGUCCUGACAGUAAACGGUGCACGUUUGGUGUGGGAGGAUUCGACCCCUUCUGCGCCGGA
rnacentral:rRNA from 1 species